UACGUAGGGUGCGAGCGUUGCCCGGAUUUAUUGGGCGUAAAGGGCGCGUAGGUGGUGGCUUAAGCGUGCGGUGAAAGCUCGGGGCUCAACCCCGAGUCGGCCGUGCGAACUGGGCUCACUGGAGCAUAGUAGAGGCAGGUGGAAUUCCGGGUGUAGCGGUGGAAUGCGUAGAGAUCCGGAAGAACACCGGUGGCGAAGGCGGCCUGCUGGGCUAUGGCUGACACUGAGGCGCGACAGCGUGGGGAGCAAACAGG
rnacentral:rRNA from 1 species